rnacentral:rRNA from 1 species
UACGAAGGGGGCUAGCGUUGUUCGGAAUCACUGGGCGUAAAGGGCGCGUAGGCGGCCGAUCAAGUCGGGGGGUGAAAGCCUGUGGCUCAACCACAGAAUUGCCUUCGAUACUGUUUGGCUUGAGACCGGAAGAGGUAAGUGGAACUGCGAGUGUAGAGGUGAAAUCGUAGAUAUUCGCAAGAACACCAGUGGCGAAGGCGGCUUACUGG